AUUGAACGCUGGCGGCAUGCCUUACACAUGCAAGUCGAACGGCAGCACGGGAGCAAUCCUGGUGGCGAGUGGCGAACGGGUGAGUAAUGUAUCGGAACGUACCUUUCAGUGGGGGAUAACGUAGCGAAAGUUACGCUAAUACCGCAUAUUCUGUGAGCAGGAAAGCAGGGGAUCGCAAGACUUUGCGCUGAUUGAGCGGCCGAUAUCAGAUUAGCUAGUUGGUGAGGUAAAGGCUCACCAAGGCGACGAUCUGUAGCGGGUCUGAGAGGAUGAUCCGCCACACUGGAACUGAGACACGGUCCAGACUCCUACGGGAGGCAGCAGUGGGGAAUUUUGGACAAUGGGGGCAACCCUGAUCCAGCCAUGCCGCGUGAGUGAAGAAGGCCUUCGGGUUGUAAAGCUCUUUCGGCCGGGAAGAAAUCGCAUGGGUUAAUACCCUGUGUGGAUGACGGUACCGGAAUAAGAAGCACCGGCUAACUACGUGCCAGCAGCCGCAGUAA
rnacentral:rRNA from 1 species